rnacentral:rRNA from 1 species
AGUGAACGCUGGCGGUAGGCCUAACACAUGCAAGUCGAACGGCAGCACAGUAAGAGCUUGCUCUUACGGGUGGCGAGUGGCGGACGGGUGAGGAAUACAUCGGAAUCUACUUUUUCGUGGGGGAUAACGUAGGGAAACUUACGCUAAUACCGCAUACGACCUACGGGUGAAAGCAGGGGAUCUUCGGACCUUGCGCGAUUGAAUGAGCCGAUGUCGGAUUAGCUAGUUGGCGGGGUAAAGGCCCACCAAGGCGACGAUCCGUAGCUGGUCUGAGAGGAUGAUCAGCCACGCUGGAACUGAGACACGGUCCAGACUCCUACGGGAGGCAGCAGUGGGGAAUAUUGGACAAUGGGCGCAAGCCUGAUCCAGCCAUACCGCGUGGGUGAAGAAGGCCUUCGGGUUGUAAAGCCCUUUUGUUGGGAAAGAAAAGCAGCAGGUUAAUACCCCGCUGUUCUGACAGUACCCAAAGAAUAAGCACCGGCUAACUUCGUG